ACAGAUUUGAAACAUUAUGUGAUCUUUUAGGUAGAAUAUUGUAGGGGUGGCUAGAAGUUUCUUUUUAUGUUAGUGCUUAAUCACUGGGAAUAUAUAAAAGGCUAAAUACCUUAUUGCUUUUCUAUCUUUUUAGGCAACAAUUGUGGCAUGUCUUCCAUUAUUGUUACUAUAAUAUAUACUGAAGAACACCUACCACUUCAUCAUAAGUUGUUGUCGUUAUCAUCUAUUGGAAAUUUCACCGAAAGCUCGAAUAAAUAUAAUUAAGAUGCAUUAUAAAUUGCGUGAUUAGUAACAGGGCUGGUAUACAAAUUUGGUUUCAGCCUUCAAAAUAAUACAGUGGAAUAUGUCUUGGAUCGGUGUUUCUUCUAAUUUUGUUUCUUUCCUUAUUCUGCUAGCAAUCGCCUUUUCUUUCCUUUCACGGGUUACUCCAGUUAGUGCAGAUAUGGAAGUGAGAAAACUGGGUGUGAUGCCAAGUCCACCUCCUUCACCUCUGCAUAAUCCACCUCGGCAUAGUCGUCCUCCUCGUCCUCCGCCGCAUCGUCAUCAUCCUCCCCCUCCGGCCUUUUAAAUUUUAAUCUUAUGUAUAUGUAGGAUUUGUGCUUGAGAUAACUUUUUCUUUUUUCGAUAAUCGUUAGUUGUUAGUAUCUUUUUUUCUGUUCAUUUUCGUUACCAAAACGUGUUCCCUUUGGUUCCGUUUGUGGAAUUAAGAAUAUAAUCAAUAGAGGCUUGGAUUGUUUA